GUUUUUUAAGUCUGAUGUGAAAGCCCACGGCUCAACCGUGGAGGGUCAUUGGAAACUGGAAAACUUGAGUGCAGAAGAGGAAAGUGGAAUUCCAUGUGUAGCGGUGAAAUGCGCAGAGAUAUGGAGGAACACCAGUGGCGAAGGCGACUUUCUGGUCUGUAAAUGACGCUGAUGUGCGAAAGCGUGGGGAUCAAACAGGAUUAGAUACCCUGGUAGUCCACGCCGUAAACGAUGAGUGCUAAGUG
rnacentral:rRNA from 1 species